rnacentral:rRNA from 1 species
ACGCUGGCGGCAGGCCUAACACAUGCAAGUCGAGCGGAAACGAGUUAACUGACCCUUCGGGUGACGUUAACGGCGUCGAGCGGCGGACGGGUGAGUAAUGCCUGGGAAAUUGCCCUGAUGUGGGGGAUAACCAUUGGAAACGAUGGCUAAUACCGCAUAAUGCCUUCGGGCCAAAGAGGGGGACCUUCGGGCCUCUCGCGUCAGGAUAUGCCCAGGUGGGAUUAGCUAGUUGGUGAGGUAAUGGCUCACCAAGGCGACGAUCCCUAGCUGGUCUGAGAGGAUGAUCAGCCACACUGGAACUGAGACACGGUCCAGACUCCUACGGGAGGCAGCAGUGGGGAAUAUUGCACAAUGGGCGCAAGCCUGAUGCAGCCAUGCCGCGUGUGUGAAGAAGGCCUUCGGGUUGUAAAGCACUUUCAGCAGUGAGGAAGGCGGGUACGUUAAUA